AGGCCGAAACGCUGAGAAACGCCGUCCUCUCUUUUUUUGAUGGUGUUCGUUGAGCGCUUACUGUGUGCCAGCCCUGGGGUAGGCACAACCUAAUCAAGUUGGAUUCGGUCCACGGCCCACGUGAGACUCACGGGUCCCCAUUUUACAGAUGAGGGGACUGAGGCCCAGAGAAGGGAAGUGACUGGCCCAAGGUAACCCAGCGGACCGGUGGCCGAGCCGGGAUCGGAACCCGGGUCCUUCUGCCUCCCGGGCCCGUGCUCUAGCCACCGGACCACCCCGCUUCUCGAAGAAGAGCGGCUUCGGCCUCCCCGGGCUCCGGUCUAGCGGGGCCCGGGCCUUGACUUGGGCACCCGGAGUGAAAUCACGAGACGGGAACCUGCCCUUCUACUCGGUUUCUGUUAUUUGUUAUCGGCCGUGGGCAUCGGCAGCGCGCUGGCAACCGCGCCUUGCGGAGAUGCCCCCUCCCGAGGGAUUCGCAUCAGAACGGUUCUCGGUGGUGAUGGUGGCGGUUGGGUAGACGGUGGUGGUGGUGGGUUGACGGCGGCGGUGGUCGCGAGCCCCGGGAGAUGAAAGCAGCCAUCUGUAUUUCGGAAGUGUCUGGAGCGAGCGAGCGAGCGAACGAACGUGCUUCGUGGAAUAACAGCGGGACCCAAUUUUCACGCAUUCAACGCCGAAUGUGUUCUGGGUGCAAGACUCAGAAACCUCAGUGGACUUGGAAGAGAUGGAAUGAUUGUAAUAAAACUAAGCUUUUUACUCAGCCCCGUAUGGUUACUGAUUGCGGAUAUUAUUCUAUUUUCCCAAAAGUCCCUUUCAGCUGAUACUAUAAUAAUAAUAAAAAGAUUGCAAUAAUAGUAAGCCCACUCUGCUGCAAUUUGGCAAAUACAGAGUGGAGCUGGAUGGAGAAGACCAAAAAAAAAAAAAAAAAGUGGGGCAGUUUCCUUAUGAAUUUAGCUGAAAAGAUUGAAACAAGUUGGGCUGAGAGGGCAAGCAGCGUGGCCUGCUGGCCAGAGCCCGGGCCUGGGAGUCAGGAGGAUCUGGGUUCUAAUCCCCGCUCCUCCACUUGUCUGCUGUGUGACCUUGAGCAAAUCACUUCACUUGUCUGGGCCUCAGUUCCCUCAUCCGUAAAGUGGAAAUUAAGAACGUGAGCCUCACGUGGGACAGGGACUGUGUCCAACCUGAUCAUCUUGUACCUACCCCAGCGCUUAGAACAGUGCCUGGCACAUAGUAAGUGCUUAACAUAUACCGCCAUCAUCACGAUUAUUAUCAUUAGAGGGGCUGUUUCUGAAAUUGCAAGAAAUACUAAGGGUGUAGAAAGGAAGGACAAGGAAUUGUCGCUUCCCAGUUUCCCCUAGCCCCCGGAAGCUUGAGGGAAUCCCUUUUCUCUAGAGUGUAAGAUCGUCGUGGUCAGGGAUUGUGUCUGUUUACUGUCCUGCUGUUCUUCUCCCUAGUGCUUAGUACAGUGCUCUGCACACAGUCAGCUCUCAAUAAAUACGAUAGAAUGAAAAUAAGUGAAAUGAAACCCUCUGGUAGGAGACACCCCAGGUUACAACCACCACACAAUCCCAGCAACCUAGAGCUCUAGCCAUUACUGCUGGGUUCUUGUCCCCCAGAUUGGCGCCUCUCCCUGAUCCUGUAACCUGCUUGUGGGCAAGGAACGUGUGUGCCAACUCCGUUGUGUUGUCUUCUCCCAAGUGCUUAGUAUAGUGCUCUGCGCCCUGGAAGCGCUCAGUAAAUACCACCGAUGGAUUGAUUUCAAUCCGGGGAUGCAGGCUGUUGUUUCCCGCUAUGGCCGAAACCUGGGAAGAAUGCAGGACUUGACACCUCAUCGGUCAAUCAAUCGAGCGCUCACUGAUUGCAGAGCACUGUAUUAGACGCUUGGGGGGAUAAGCCCCACUUUUCCUCAUCUCCCACUCCCUUCUGUGUCGCCCUGACUUCCUCCCUUUGUUCUCCCCCCACCCCUCACAGCCCCUCAGCACUUAUAUAAAUAGAACUGUAAUUUCAUUUAUUUGUAUUGACGUCUGUCUCCCCCUCUUAAACUGUGGGAAGGGAUCGUCACUCGUUAUGGUGGUACUGUACUUUCCCAAGUGCUUAGUACAUUAUUCUGCCCACAGUAAGCGUUUAAUAAAUACGAUUGAAUGAAUGAAUAAAUGGAGUGAAUCAGAGUUGGUAGACGUGUUUCCAGCCCACAGUGGGCGUAUGGUCUAGAGAGGGAGACCGACGACGUUAAUAGAAAGGAACAGAUUUCAGAUAUGCACAUAAAGUGCUGUGGGGCUGAGAGAGGGUACAGAUCAAGGUACGGGGGUGAUGCAGAAGGGAGUGGGAGAAGAGGAAAUGAGAGCUUAGUCGGGGAAGUCUUCUCGGAGGAGAUGGGCCUUCGAUAAGGCUUUGAAGAUAGGGAGGGAGAUCAUCUGUCCGCUAUGACGAGGGAGGGCGUUCCAGGCCAGAGGCAGGACGAGGUCGGCAGCGAGAUAGAUGAGAUGGAGGUACAGUGAGUAGGUUGGUGUUAAAGAAGCAAACUGUGAGGACAAGGUUGUAGUAGGAAAUCGGGGAGAUGAGGUAGGAAGGGGCAAGGGGAUCGAGGGCUUAAAAGCCUACGGUAAAGAGUUUCCCUUGAUGCGCAGGUGGAUGGGCAACCACUGGAGGUUCUUGAGGAGUGCGGAAACACGGACUGAAUGUUUUUGUAAAAAAUGAUCCAGGCAGCAGAGCGAAGGGUGCACUGAAGUAGGAAGAGACAAGAGGCAGGGCGGUCGGCAAGGAGGCCGGUGCAGUAGUCAAGGUGGUGUAGGAUUAGAGCGGAUCUGAGUGACGCUGUGAAGGUUGAGCCUACGACAUUUGGUGACGGAUGGAAUACGUACAAUGAAUGUGAGAGGUGAC
rnacentral:lncRNA from 1 species